rnacentral:rRNA from 1 species
AUUGAACGCUGGCGGCAUGCUUUACACAUGCAAGUCGAACGGUAACAGGCCUUCGGGUGCUGACGAGUGGCGAACGGGUGAGUAAUGCAUCGGAACAUACCCAGAGGUGGGGGAUAACGCAGCGAAAGCUGUGCUAAUACCGCAUGUGAUCUGAGGAUGAAAGCGGGGGACCGAGCAGCAAUGUUUGGCCUCGCGCCUUUGGAGCGGCCGAUGUCGGAUUAGCUAGUUGGUGGGGUAAAGGCCUACCAAGGCGACGAUCCGUAGCUGGUCUGAGAGGACGACCAGCCACACUGGGACUGAGACACGGCCCAGACUCCUACGGGAGGCAGCAGUGGGGAAUUUUGGACAAUGGGCGAAAGCCUGAUCCAGCAAUGCCGCGUGCGGGAAGAAGGCCUUCGGGUUGUAAACCGCUUUUGGCAGGAACGAAACGGUGUCCGCUAAUACCGGGCGCUAAUGACGGUACCUGCAGAAUAAGCACCGGCUAACUACGUG